AACGAACGCUGGCGGCAGGCUUAACACAUGCAAGUCGAGCGCCCCGCAAGGGGAGCGGCAGACGGGUGAGUAACGCGUGGGAAUCUACCCAUCUCUACGGAAUAACGCAUGGAAACGUGUGCUAAUACCGUAUACGUCCUUCGGGAGAAAGAUUUAUCGGAGAUGGAUGAGCCCGCGUUGGAUUAGCUGGUUGGUGGGGUAAAGGCCUACCAAGGCGACGAUCCAUAGCUGGUCUGAGAGGAUGAUCAGCCACACGGGGACUGAGACACGGCCCAGACUCCUACGGGAGGCAGCAGUGGGGAAUAUUGGACAAUGGGCGCAAGCCUGAUCCAGCCAUGCCGCGUGAGUGAUGAAGGCCCUAGGGUUGCAAAGCUCUUUCACCGGUGAAGAUAAUGACGGUAACCGGAGAAGAAGCCCCGGCUAACUUCGUGCCAGCCGCCGCGGUAAUAC
rnacentral:rRNA from 1 species